CCUACGGGAGGCAGCAGUAGGGAAUUUUCGGCAAUGGGGGGAACCCUGACCGAGCAACGCCGCGUGAACGAAGAAGUUAUUCGUAAUGUAAAGUUCUUUUAACAGGGAAGAAAGAGAAAUUUGACGGUACCUGAAGAAUAAGCUCCGGCUAACUACGUGCCAGCAGCCGCGGUAAUACGUAGGGAGCGAGCGUUAUCCGGAAUGACUGGGCGUAAAGGGUGCGUAGGUGGUUUGACAAGUUGGUAGCGUAACUCCGGGGCUCAACCUCGGCACUACUACCAAAACUGUCGGACUUGAGUGCAGGAGGGGCAAAUGGAAUUCCUAGUGUAGCGGUGGAAUGCGUAGAUAUUAGGAAGAACACCAGUGGCGAAGGCGAUUUGCUGGACUGUAACUGACACUGAGGCACGAAAGCGUGGGGAGCGAACAGGAUUAGAUACCCCAGUAGUC
rnacentral:rRNA from 1 species